rnacentral:rRNA from 1 species
GCACCGCUGGUGUACCAGUUGUUCUGCCAAGGGCAUAGCUGGGUAGCUAUGUGCGGAAAGGGAUAAAGUGCUGAAAAGCAUCUAAAGCAUGAAAGCCCCCCUCAAAGAUGAGAUUUCCCAUAGCGUAAGCUAGUAAGAUCCCUGAAAGAUGAUCAGGUUGAUAGGUUCGAGGUGGAAGCAUGGUGACAUGUGGAGCUGACGAAUACUAAUAGAUCGAGGACUUAACCAUAUAA